GGCUUAGAGUUUGAUCAUGGCUCAGGACGAACGCUGGCGGCGCGCCUAACACAUGCAAGUCGAACGGAGUUGAGAGGAGCUUGCUUUUCUUGACUUAGUGGCGAACGGGUGAGUAACGCGUGAGGAACCUGCCUCAAAGAGGGGGACAACAGUUGGAAACGACUGCUAAUACCGCACAAGCCCACGGUCCCGCAUGGGACAGAGGGAAAAGGAGCAAUCCGCCUUGAGAUGGCCUCGCGUCCGAUUAGCUAGUUGGUGAGGUAACGGCCCACCAAGGCGACGAUCGGUAGCCGGACUGAGAGGUUGAACGGCCACAUUGGGACUGAGACACGGCCCAGACUCCUACGGGAGGCAGCAGUGGGGAAUAUUGCACAAUGGGGGAAACCCUGAUGCAGCGACGCCGCGUGGAGGAAGAAGGUCUUCGGAUUGUAAACUCCUGUUGUUGGGGAAAAAGAGGAUGGUACCCAACAAGGAAGUGACGGCUAACUACGUGCCAGCAGCCGCGGUAAAACGUAGGUCACGAGCGUUGUCCGGAAUUACUGGGUGUAAAGGGAGCGCAGGCGGGUAUGCAAGUUGGGAGUGAAAUACAUGGGCUCAACCCAUGAACUGCUCUCAAAACUGUGUAUCUUGAGUAGUGCAGAGGUAGGCGGAAUUCCCGGUGUAGCGGUGGAAUGCGUAGAUAUCGGGAGGAACACCAGUGGCGAAGGCGGCCUACUGGGCACCAACUGACGCUGAGGCUCGAAAGUGUGGGUAGCAAACAGGAUUAGAUACCCUGGUAGUCCACACCGUAAACGAUGAUUACUAGGUGUUGGAGGAUAGACCCCUUCAGUGCCGCAGUUAACACAAUAAGUAAUCCACCUGGGGAGUACGACCGCAA
rnacentral:rRNA from 1 species